rnacentral:rRNA from 1 species
GUCCUUUAGAAAUUAGAAUUUAAGGUCUGACCUGCCCACUGAUAUUUAAAUGGCCGCAGUAAUUUGACUGUGCAAAGGUAGCAUAAUCAUUAGUUUUUUAAUUAAAAGCUUGUAUGAAUGGUUGGACGAAAUAAAAUCUGUCUCUAAGUAAAUAUUAGAAAUUAAUUUUUAAGUUAAAAAGCUUAAAUUUUAUUAAAAGACGAGAAGACCCUAUAGAUCUUUAUAAUAUUUUUUAUAAUUUUAUUUUAGAUUUUUUUAUUAAUUAUAAUAAAUAUUAUUUUAUUGGGGUAAUAAAAAGAUUAAAUAAAUUCUUUUUAAAAUUUAACAAAAAUAAUUGAUUACAUGAUCCUUUUUUAUUGAUUAUAAGAUUAAGUUACCUUAGGGAUAACAGCGUAAUUUUUUUAGAGAGUUCAUAUCGAUAAAAAAGUUUGCGACCUCGAUGUUGGAUUAAAAAUUAUUUUGGGUGUAGAAGUUCAAAGUUUUGGUCUGUUCGACCAUUAGAUUUUU